GGGUAAAAGCCUCCUCCAACUUUUGGCCUGUAUUAUUGUAAAAGGUAUGUUUUCUAAUUCUAUUUCUAGUAAACAAACUCUCUCUGAUAUUCCGGUAAAUGUUAUUAUAUUGUUUUUUAGAUAUUUUUUGAUCAGGAAACCCACGCCAUACAGGCCUUUAGUUUCGCCUAUGUAAUACAUAAUAUAAUCGUCAUCCUCGAUAAUGUUCUCACCUAAUCGACGUACUUCGCAUAGUCCUAAUAUAUCAUGAUUAAUGUUCUGCAGCGCUGCCUUUAGUUCAAUAAGUUUCAUUUCAGAAGAGAGUGUUUUGACGUUUAAGGUACAAAUGUUUAAAUUGGUUAGUGUUUCUUUGUUUUUAGUUGGAGGGUUUUGGUCGAUCUCUCCCGCGGUGACCGGCCGUACUGGGAGAUUUGUAGGGUGAGGAGGGUAAAUCUGUUGUUGCUAUUCUAUAUUCUGUUGUGUGGCCAUCAGGUGAGGUGAGUCUAUUUUAGUUUUGGGAAAGGUAAGUUUUUGUUUGUGAAGUACAAAAUCCUUCAUGUUGGUAGCUUUGUUCUUUUUCGUUGGUUGUUUACCACGUUGAGUGGAGUAGUUUGUAUGCGAUGACUCCGGGGAUUCGGACAGGAUUCUCUUAUUUAAUUGCUUUCGAGAUGUAACUUUGUUACUCUUAGGUAUUAUAAGUGUGUCAUAUUUCAUAAACGCAUUAUUGCCAGCCUCCCUUUCCUUCACCAGUUGUUCUUGUAAUUCUUUGCGCUUGAUUAAAACAUCUUUGGGGUAGUCUUCCUUUAUGUAAUAUGACGUGCUGCUCAAACAAGACUUGUUUUUCAUAAUCAUGAUCUUGAAACCCAGUGUAGUGAAUGAUAUAACAACUGGUCUAGUUUUCUCGCUUUUCCUACCCAGUCUUCUGACCACUUCGAUGUUACUUUUGU